CUUGUUUAUGAAGUGAAAGUAGUAGGAGAUCCAGAGAGAGGCUGGUUAAAUAUACAGCGACAUUAAAAUAAUAUCUGAAGUAAUUUACUUAUCUCUUUCUGGAUUAAGUACGACACUUCUCCCUUCUGUAUUUAAUCAUUCUGUCAAGCCCGCUCUCCACUAGACCCAGAGAAUGUUCAUUACUCCAUUCCUAAAGAUUCUCUUGCUAACCAGAUAUCAAAUGUCCUGCAGCAGCCUUUUGUAUAUCGAAGGAUUAUCAUGCAUGUUUUGAUCUUGAUGUUGGUGUGCCUAGACAUUUCGGUGUGGAUUGUAUACAGUAGUCACCAGAAUCCCUAUUACAGACAUAGAGAGCCACCCAUUUUCCGGGGCAUUUCAAACCUAACACAGCACUUUCUUCAUCAAAGGACCUUAUCCACUAUUAGUCCAACAGUCAUCAGACCUUCCAGUAAAAAAGAUACCAUCACUAGACCUACAACGGCAAAAACGAAAAUAAACGGCAUCAUAGUGCGAAACAAGAAGGACAUCCUCAUAAUAAAAAUGUGCCAAUAUUUUCAACAUAAAAAGACAAUCACCUGGUUUUACAGAUACUUCUGUAUUCGAGAUUUUAUACCUAUUUGGUGACAUUAACCUUGAAUUAGAGAUUCUUUUGGCUGUAUAAAUCACGAUUUUCCAGCAAAAGUCCUGUUAAUUACUGCACGAGGCGGAGUAAUAAAAGUAUGUACCAUGUACAGAGACAUUAGUAAUUCACAGUGUGAUAUUUGGUUACAGCAGUGUACCAUUGCAUGUAUGCAUAACUGCAGCAAUAUGAAAAUAUUGAAGGUGUGGUGUUUAUUACUUUUGACAUUGUUAUACCUCUGUGAAAUCAUCCAGCUAUUAUAAAACAAUUUCUGACUAUAAAGGUACCUUUCAAUGGUUGUUUAUUUACAAACUUUCAUUACUAAUUCAUUGUCCAAAUAUAUUUGGAUGCAUUAUUUAUUUCGGGGUGUGAAUAAAUGCUUUACACAGCAGACUGGAUUUACAUACUUUGCGCAUAUCACGUUUUAAUAAAUUAUUGACACGUUUCUUCAGAAUGAUUGCAUAGCACGGAUGUUUGUGUUAUUAUAUAACUAUUUGCAUAGGCAAUGCAUUCAAUGAUAUUUUAUUAUGUUUUUUUUUUUUCAAAAUAAUGCAAAAACCGUCUGUGAAAAUAAUCUUUAUGCACAAUUGCAGUAUCACGAAUGAAUUAAGUCUUUAUUGUCUAUCAAUUAUCAUAAGCAAGGAAAAGGUCAGAAGAACACUGUAUAAUGCCAUUUCCUUUUCUUCUCAAUGUGAUUUUUAAGACGCCUUGUAAACAUUCAUGCUCAGUGUGACUGCACGAUUCUUGUCCAUUUUUUUUAUUUAUUGUGAAAUAUUUAAUUUAAUGAUAUUCAUGAUUUGAAAAAGAGUGUCAACAAAGACUAUGAAUUUUCAGAAAGAAAGUGAGAUGGAAGGAAAGAUUUCUAUUCUGUCUCAAACAUUUUUCGUAUUAGCAACGAAUGUCUAUGUUGAAAAUACUUAUCAAGCAGAGAUAUUUUUAAAGAAAUUUCUGGGCUCUUGUAAAAUAAAACUUUCCCCUUUAACUUUAUACUUACAUGUAUAUGCAUGACAGAGGUUAGAAGGCUUUUUUAUAAAGUUCCUUUGUUUAGGCUAUAAACUUUUGUUUUUUGUAUUUUCUAAUUUAAAAAAUUGUUGAUAAGCUACUAUAUGUUACUAAUA